GCCAGUAUGAUGAAAUUGGUAGACAUGAGGGAUUCAAAAUCCCUUGGUAGCAAUACCGUGUCGGUUCAAGUCCGACUACUGGUACCA
rnacentral:tRNA from 1 species